rnacentral:rRNA from 1 species
GACGAACGCUGGCGGCAUGCCUAAUACAUGCAAGUCGAACGCACAGUUUAUACCGUAGCUUGCUACACCAUAGACUGUGAGUUGCGAACGGGUGAGUAACGCGUAGGUAACCUGCCUGGUAGCGGGGGAUAACUAUUGGAAACGAUAGCUAAUACCUCAUAAUAUUAAUUAUUGCAUGAUAAUUAAUUGAAAGGUGCAAUUGCACCACUACCAGAUGGACCUGCGUUGUAUUAGCUAGUAGGUGAGGUAACGGCUCACCUAGGCGACGAUACAUAGCCGAACUGAGAGGGUGGUCGGCCACACUGGGACUGAGACACGGCCCAGACUGCUACAGGAAGGAGCAGUAGGGAAACUUGGGCAAUAGACGAAAGUCUGACCGAGCAACGCCGCGUGAGUGAAGAAGGGUGUCGGGUCGUAAAGAUCUGUUGUAAGAGAAGAAAGGGUGUGAGAGUGGAAAGUUCACAGUGUGACGGUAUCUAACCAGAAAGGGACGGCUAACUACGUG